GCCUGGGUGGCUCAGUCGGUUAAGUGUCUGACUUCAGCUCAGGGCAUAAUCUCACAGUUCAUGGGUUCGAGCCCCAUGUUGGGUU
rnacentral:tRNA from 1 species